rnacentral:rRNA from 1 species
AGCUCCAAUAGCGUAUAUUAAAGUUGUUGCAGUUAAAAAGCUCGUAGUUGGACUUGUGGUGGUUCCUGGGGUCCGAUUUCGGUACUCUCGGGGACUGCCAUCUUUGGGUGGAUCCUGUGUGGCAUUAGGUUGUCGUGCAGGGGAUGCCCAUCGUUUACUGUGAAAAAAUUAGAGUGUUCAAAGCAGGCUUAUGCCGUUGAAUAUAUUAGCAUGGAAUAAUGAGAUAGGACCUUGGUACUAUUUUGUUGGUUUGCGCACCGAGGUAAUGAUUAAUAGGGAUUGUUGUGGGUAUUCGUAUUCCAUUGUCAGAGGUGAAAUUCUUGGAUUUCUGGAAGACGAACUAAUGCGAAAGCAUUUACCAAGGAUGUUUUCA